GAUGAAGAACGCAGCGAAAUGCGAUAAGUAGUGUGAAUUGCAGAAUUCAGUGAAUCAUCGAAUCUUUGAACGCACCUUGCGCCCUUUGGCUAUUCCGAAGGGCAUGCCUGUUUGAGUAUCAUGAACACCUCAACUCUUCACGGCUUGCCGUGAUGAGUUUGGACUUUGGGGGUCUUGCUGGCCUACGAGCCAGCUCCUCUCAAAUGUAUUAGCUUGCCGGUGUUUGGUGGCAUCACAGGUGUGAUAACUAUCUACGCUUGUGGUUUUCCACUAGGUAACCUUCAGCAAUGGAGGUUCACCGGAGCUCACAAAUGUCUCUCCUUGCCAAGGACAGAUUUUGACCAUUUGAUCUCAAAUCAGGUAGGACUACCCGCUGAACUUAAGCAUAUCAAUAAGCGGAGGA
rnacentral:misc_RNA from 1 species